rnacentral:guide_RNA from 1 species
AUAACUACACAGAACAUAGAUAAGAGUCAGAUAGUAUAAAGUGAUAU